AUUGAACGCUGGCGGCAUGCCUUACACAUGCAAGUCGAACGGUAGCAUGAUCUAGCUUGCUAGAUUGAUGGCGAGUGGCGAACGGGUGAGUAAUACAUCGGAACGUGCCCUGUAGUGGGGGAUAACUAGUCGAAAGAUUAGCUAAUACCGCAUACGACCUGAGGGUGAAAGUGGGGGACCGCAAGGCCUCAUGCUAUAGGAGCGGCCGAUGUCUGAUUAGCUAGUUGGUGAGGUAAAGGCUCACCGAGGCGACGAUCAGUAGCUGGUCUGAGAGGACGAUCAGCCACACUGGGGCUGAGACACGGCCCAGACUCCUACGGGAGGCAGCAGUGGGGAAUUUUGGACAAGGGGGGCAACCCUGAUCCAGCAAUGCCGCGUGUGUGAAGAAGGCCUUCGGGUUGUAAAGCACUUUUGUCCGGAAAGAAAUCGCACUUACUAAUAUUAGGUGUGGAUGACGGUACCGGAAGAAUAAGGACCGGCUAACUACGUGCCAGCCGCCGCCGUAACAC
rnacentral:rRNA from 1 species